UCUGAGGCACGUUAUCUGCGAGCCAGGCUGAGUUCUGCAUCCUGGGGGGCAGCACGAAGAGGUACUCGAAGGGCAAGAGAAUUGAAAUACAUCCAGGAGGACUUUUACCUGGCUUUGAAGGAAGGACGUGAUCUGCGUGAGUGCAGAGGCAGUGGGAGAGAUUCCAGGGAAAUCAGGCUCAGCCUAUAUGUAGUUGUGAGUUUGUAUGUGUGGGAUGGGGAGAGACUGGGGGAGUGCUGCGAGGGCCUCUCAUGGGAGAAAAGUGGAGAUGUCUAUUGGUCUCCAAAAGUGGGGACAGCUCACGAAGAGCUCUGGAAGCCUGGGAGACGGCCGUGGAGCAGAGAGCCGAGUGCACAGGCUGCCCCUCCCCCAGCCACCCCAGCAAAGGAUUAUCCGGCCUAAAAUGCUGAUCCUGGCGAGGCUGAGGAUCCCUGGCCUACGGCGUCACAAGUCCAUUGAAGAGCGUUGCUGAGUUGCUGGAUGGAUAGAUGCUGACUCACAGUCCCCAGGUAGGAUUUUCCUGAGCAAUGAGCCAGAAACACAACUCAACAUGCCCUUCCGGUUGUGAUUUUCACACACACCUUAACGAUUCUUCUUUUUUCUUCAAAGCUUCUUUGAAGUCUGUGGAACUGGUUAAGAAAUGCAGGAGGCGAGAAGGACAAACUCACGGCUACAACCUGUUUGAAACCUAAUUCUGGCCGCCAUCCAGGAGGCUCUGAGACGUGGUGUCUUGUAUUUAUCACACUGGCAUUUAUCAUGACUAUCAGAUGACGGCCUUGAAGGUUGAAGAUGACUACAGAAAGGUUUGGGUUUCACAGAUUUUUCUUGGUAGCUUGGCCCUUUCCUCAUUUUGUAACCUUACAAGCGGUUACGGUGACCAUAUGGCCAGACUCACCUGCAAUAGUCACGGUUUGCCCCUAAUGCACUGGAGAGAUUAUUCAUAGCACCUCUUUUUACCAUCACAAGUGUCCUGGCUAAGGCAAUAAAUUAUAUGGCCACCUUCCUAUUAAUUGGCCA
rnacentral:lncRNA from 1 species